GAUGAACGCUGGCGGCGUGCCUAAUACAUGCCAGUCGAGCGAACGGACGAGAAGCUUGCUUCUCUGAUGUUAGCGGCGGACGGGUGAGUAACACGUGGAUAACCUACCUAUAAGACUGGGAUAACUUCGGGAAACCGGAGCUAAUACCGGAUGAUAUUUUGAACCGCAUGGUUCAAAAGUGAAAGACGGUCUUGCUGUCACUUAUAGAUGGAUCCGCGCUGCAUUAGCUAGUUGGUAAGGUAACGGCUUACCAAGGCAACGAUGCAUAGCCGACCUGAGGGGGUGAUCGGCCACACUGGAACUGAGACACGGUCCAGACUCCUACGGGAGGCAGCAGUAGGGAAUCUUCCGCAAUGGGCGAAAGCCUGACGGAGCAACGCCGCGUGAGUGAUGAAGGUCUUCGGAUCGUAAAACUCUGUUAUUAGGGAAGAACAUAUGUGUAAGUAACUGUGCACAUCUUGACGGUACCUAAUCAGAAAGCCACGGCUAACUACGUG
rnacentral:rRNA from 1 species